CCAUGACAGAGUCAUGCCUGUCUGAGUGCCUGAAGGUUACAGGCAUCCAGUACUGAAAUCUUGGAGGAUUUCUACAGAUUAUCACAAGGAGCACUCAGCACAUUGACAUGUGGCCCAGGGCUGGGGGGUGACCAGUGAAGAAGAGGAUUUUAACCCUCAAAAACUAAUGAGCCUUCAUGUCCCUCCUGAUUUGGGCCUGAAAUAACUGACUGAAACGGAUGAAUAGGCAUCCAUCACUUCUCCCGGCCAUGUGGCUUAAUUGAAGCAACUGCUCCCUUGACAGUAUAUAUCGACCCCUUGUGAACAUUUGAAAUGUGAGUAUCCGGCUUCAUUUUAUCCUUUCUGCACUGUGCUGGAGCUCCUCUCAGAACUAUGGGAACACUAAAGGCCAGGCCUUUGGACUGUUUGUGCCCAACGGGUGCAUUUGGGGCCCCUGCGGCCCAGCCUGCCCACUCCUGCUCUGCAACUGUGUGUCUGCUGUGUGAUCCGAUGUGACACUAAGACGUCAUUAUCCUCAUCACUGUGCCAGCCUGCCGCUCUGCACUGGAAAUCAGCUCUGACAGCCAUGACCCUCCAACCUGAUUGGACCAGUGACCCUCUGACCUGCAGCCAUAGAGAUGGUGCUCAAACUCACCACUAUUACAUGCAGACCUCUGGACUACUGUAAUAAUACCCCGAUGUGGACACAGGUUUUCUGCUUCUGGCCCUCAGCCUGUUUUUGCUCCCUUUUUCCUCUGCCUCUCUGAUCUCAAAUGGAUGAUUUAGCUCACUUUUUUGUUGCAUAUUUUCUCUGUUGUAUAAUAUUUCUACGUUUUAAAGUUUGAUGGUAUGACUUCUUGCGUUUGUUCAGACUGUAUUGAUACCUCUGUCCUGAUCAGGUGCAUAAUAGCCACAACUACUCAGGCAUCUUUUCACUUCAUCUGCUGUUGAUUGUUCAGCCACUCAGCCCUGAUUUUAUGUGAUUGUUCUCAGUUGGCAGAGUAACACGCGUGGAUCCCGGCUCCCAGUAGGGACUGGGAAUACUGCAGUCUCAUGCUAUAGGAAAACAUUGCAAUAAUAAGCUUCAGCUCUGUCUCUUCUAUGCUCGUUCUACCUGCUGUCACGCAUGGCAUGCAAAAACUCUACAGUCUACAGAGGAGAUCGUGACACAGUGAGAUUCAUCUCGGAUUUGCAUUUGGAAUUAUCGUUACUAGAGUGACAUUACUCCGCUGGGAUACAGCUAUUUACUAAGAAGUGACAAGUGUAAAUCCAAGUUACUUGUGACAUUUCCAUUGAGUGCUUUAGAGGGCCUAAUUGCUUUAUGACAUUUAGAAGGAGCUUGAAGUACUGUAUCCAAAAGCUUUUUUAGGUCCGCUGGUUGCACAUGCUGUCUGAGAGGUCUGUUUUCUUCCAUGUGAUUAUUCAGUAUCGCUGCAAUGUAAUAACAGCUGCUCCGUUUUUGAAGCUAACCAUUAAUCUUAGAUGUGUCUGUUAUGACUUGCGUAAGUGCUUGUACAUUCAAACCAUCUUUCUUCACUUCCCUCAGGGACCCUCCACACACAGCAGUUUAUCUCCACUGGACAAGGAAUGCAUCUGAGACAUGUCGGUUGUCUUGUUUUCCUCAGUUACGUGUUGUUUCCACAGUUAAAAAAAGAAAAAGAAACUGAAAAAAGUGGGUCAUCGUGUCAUUUAUCUUCCUAAGUCAGUCAUGCCAGUAAGUUGAAGCAUGUGUCAUCACUCAUAAUCUGCUAAGUGUUACCUACCGUAUACAUGAAUGGGCCAAGUGCGGUGCAGUUCUGAACAAAAGGCGAAGCUCCCGAGUGCAAAAGUAAGCGAUGUCUGCGUAAUUUAACGUGUCACCAAUCAUUGAAUAGCCUGUAUACCUCGUCAAAGACACAGCAAUAGGCCCUGGUACUCUCUUGUCAAGCCUGCAAAGGAGGGUGGAGAGGGAGGAUCGGGGUGAGAACAGAGCCAAGAGGAGAUGAAAUGGACAUGACCGUUUUGGGGUUUUUGUUUGUUUAUUUUUCAUUUGUUUGGUUGUUUGUUUGUUUUUCAUCUUCUGCUGUAAAUAGUCAAAAAAGAGAGAAUGAAGUCUUUGUUAAACUAUUUUUAUUGUUCUGAAAAAAAU
ensembl:lncRNA